rnacentral:rRNA from 1 species
UACGGAGGGGGCCAGCGUUGUUCGGAAUCAUUGGGCGUAAAGGGCGCGUAGGCGGCCGGGUAAGUCUGACGUGAAAUCCCUUGGCUUAACCAAGGAAUUGCGUCUUAAACUGUCUGGCUUGAGUCCGGGAGAGGGUAGUGGAAUUCCCAGUGUAGCGGUGAAAUGCGUAGAUAUUGGGAGGAACACCGGUGGCGAAGGCGGCUACCUGGACCGGUACUGACGCUGAGGCGCGAAAGCUAGGGUAGCAAACAGG